CCUACGGGAGGCAGCAGUGGGGGAUAUUGCACAAUGGAGGAAACUCUGAUGCAGCGACGCCGCGUGAGUGAAGAAGUAUUUCGGUAUGUAAAGCUCUAUCAGCAGGGAAGAAAGAAAUGACGGUACCUGACUAAGAAGCCCCGGCUAACUACGUGCCAGCAGCCGCGGUAAUACGUAGGGGGCAAGCGUUAUCCGGAUUUACUGGGUGUAAAGGGAGCGUAGACGGCGAUGCAAGUCUGAAGUGAAAGGCGGGGGCCCAACCCCCGGACUGCUUUGGAAACUGUAUGGCUGGAGUGCAGGAGAGGUAAGUGGAAUUCCUAGUGUAGCGGUGAAAUGCGUAGAUAUUAGGAGGAACACCAGUGGCGAAGGCGGCUUACUGGACUGUAACUGACGUUGAGGCUCGAAAGCGUGGGGAGCAAACAGGAUUAGAUACCCGAGUAGUC
rnacentral:rRNA from 1 species